rnacentral:tRNA from 1 species
CAAAACAUAGCUAAAUAGUAAAGCAUCUCCCUUACACUGAGAAGACACACGCGCAAUACGAGUUGUUUUGA